rnacentral:rRNA from 1 species
AUCUAUGGCCAUACCACCCUGAACACUCCCGAUCUCCUCUGAUCUCAGAAGCUAAGCAGUGUCAGGCCUGGUUAGUACUUGGAUGGGAGUAAUAAGCUCUGAGACUAAUGAAA